GUGCCAGCAGCCGCGGUAAUACGUAGGUGGCAAGCGUUAUCCGGAAUUAUUGGGCGUAAGGCGCGCGUAGGCGGUUUUUUAAGUCUGAUGUGAAAGCCCACGGCUCAACCGUGGAGGGUCAUUGGAAACUGGAAAACUUGAGUGCAGAAGAGGAAAGUGGAAUUCCAUGUGUAGCGGUGAAAUGCGCAGAGAUAUGGAGGAACACCAGUGGCGAAGGCGACUUUCUGGUCUGUAACUGACGCUGAUGUGCGAAAGCGUGGGGAUCAAACAGGAUUAG
rnacentral:rRNA from 1 species